GAUGAACGCUGGCGGCGUGCCUAAUACAUGCAAGUCGAACGCUGAAGGAGGAGCUUGCUCUUCUGGAUGAGUUGCGAACGGGUGAGUAACGCGUAGGUAACCUGCCUGGUAGCGGGGGAUAACUAUUGGAAACGAUAGCUAAUACCGCAUGACAACAGUUAUUGCAUGAUAACUGUUUAAAAGGGGCAACUGCUCCACUACCAGAUGGACCUGCGUUGUAUUAGCUAGUUGGUGAGGUAACGGCUCACCAAGGCGACGAUACAUAGCCGACCUGAGAGGGUGGUCGGCCACACUGGGACUGAGACACGGCCCAGACUCCUACGGGAGGCAGCAGGAGGGAAUCUUCGGAAAUGGACGGAAGUCUGACCGAGCAACGCCGCGGGAGUGAAGAAGGUUUUCGGAUCGUAAAGCUCGGUUGUAAGAGAAGAAAGAGUGUGAGAGUGGAAAGUUCACACUGUGACGGUAUCUUACCAGAAAGGGACGGCUAACUACGUG
rnacentral:rRNA from 1 species